GUUCAGGAAAGGAAACUGCAAUCUUAUGAUCAUGAGUCCAGCACCCUAACCAUUAAGCCAUUUGCCUUCACUAGAGUGCAGAAAAUGGUGAGGCCAGUUGAGGGUGUGGUUGGCCGUGGGUAUCAGUUGAGGUGAGGGUGUGUAGGAUUAGGUCAGAGGUGUUUAGUAAAUAUUUUGUGUGAUUCAACCCUCCAAAAAGUCUAAAAUUUUUCUUCUUCCUUUGUUCUCAGUCUUAUAUUGUUUUUUUUUCUAUUUUUU